UACGUAGGUGGCAAGCGUUGUCCGGAUUUACUGGGCGUAAAGCGCGCGCAGGUGGUUCGUUAAGUCCGGUGUGAAAGCCCCCGGCUCACCUGGGGGAGGCCACGGGAGACUGGCGGACUGGAGGCAGGCAGAGGCCGGUGGAAUUCCCGGUGUAGUGGUGAAAUGCGUAGAGAUCGGGAGGAACACCAGUGGCGAAGGCGGCCGGCUGGGCCUGUCCUGACGCUGAGGCGCGAAAGCGUGGGGAGCGAACCGG
rnacentral:rRNA from 1 species